rnacentral:rRNA from 1 species
UACAUGUGGGGCAAGCGUUGUUCGGAAUUACUGGGCAUAAAGGGUGCGUAGGUGGCUUGUUAAGUCUGCUGUGAAAUCCCCGAGCUCAACUUGGGAAUUGCAGUGGAUACUGGCAAGCUGGAGUACGGUAGAGGAAGGUGGAAUUCCCGGUGUAGCAGUGAAAUGCGUAGAGAUCGGGAGGAACACCGAUGGCGAAGGCAGCCCCCUGGGCUAACACUGACGCUCAGGCACGAAAGCGUGGGGAGCAAACAGG